GAUGUGCGGUGGGAUAUUGGAAUUUCCUGCAGCUAUCUUUAGAGUCAUUCAGUGCCCGAUUUCUCUGUUUGGAAAUUUAUUUCUGCAUCUGUAGCCAUUGAUAUAUCACUUUCCAUCACUUUUACACAGCCAUCCAUCUUGGAUUUAUCUGUAAGAAAGGUGAUUCAUCUUAAAAUUCAAUAUCUAACAGAGACUGGAGGCUUGAUAUUUCUCAUACUCCCUUCAUAACCUGCUAUGUUAAUAGUUGCUAUUUAAUUACUUCUCUCAGUGACCCUACAGAACUUUGAAAAUUUAGAGCUAAAAUAUGUAUUAAGAAAGAUCACAUUUAGGAAUGGUUCAUUUCCUUGCAGAUUUAUUUCAUACAAUAUAUUAUGAUUUGAUAUUCUCCUUCCCACCCCUGCUAGAUACUCUGUGAUAAUCCAUCCUCCCAAAUCAUUUCUAUUUCUUUCUCUGUCUUUAUUUAGAAGAUAAACAGAUGUAUGAUACCACCACCACUACUACUUCACAAGAAUAGGAUAAAAUAAGUAAAAAAAAAAACAAGGAAAAAUAGGGUAAAAGUACAGGAUACUUAGGUGUGAGACACACAUGGUCACACUCAUAGAAAUUACAUUAACACACAGAAGAAGCAAACUUAAUAUAUAAGCAAGGAAACUGUCAGGUCAAAAAAAAGGCCCUGACAUUGUGUUAUGAGACAAAAUUCCUCUAAAUAUGAAAUUGUGUGUUUUCUGUGGGAGCAAUCCAUCUCCAGUUAAGUCCUAUCCUUUUGAGGAAUUCUUAUAUGCAGUGAGACUCCACUGGAGAAAAAGAAAUUUUAAUGUUCUUAGUUAUCAAUUUGAGAGAGCUUUGGAUUUGCCGAUGAUGUCUUUUGCUGGGAUUCUCUUACCUGAUACCCAGUGUCCAUUCUUAGGGAUUGACGACUUCCAACAGUAACAUCCUCCUUUAUUUCCAUCCUGUUACCAUCAAUAAGUUUCACAGAGUAUGUUUGCCAGACCAGGCGUAUAUAUCAACUGUUUUGUGGCAAAUAUAUUUGCUUAUUUUUCCUCUUCUGGAUCUGCUAUUAUUUGAGAUCUGAUGAAGGAAAGAAACAAACCAUAUCCCCAUAGAAAUAACCUUCCUUCCACAGUGUAAUUUCUCUUUUAUAUUUUUGUUGAUUCUUGAGAUUAUGAUUUUAUUAUAUCUUGUAGCAUUUUCUUUCUCUACACAUCCUUCCAUAUACCCAUUUACACUCUCUUUUAUAUUUAUGUCUUCCCUAUUUUCUAUUUUGUAUCACAUGUAUAUUCAUACAUAUAUAUUUCACAUAUAUACAUUUCAGUCUGUAGAAUAUUAAGUAUAUGCUUUUUUCAGGGCUGAUUAGUGGAUUUGUAACCUUUACUUAGUAUAUAGUGUGUGCUUGUCACCAUCUGUUUCUACCAGUCACUUCAGUAAGCUGUCAUAUAUGUUAAUGUAGUUAAAUUAUAUUGCGUGUCUUUUUAAAUUGUAAACCAUUUUCAAUCAUAUUUAGUAUGUUUGUUAUGUCUACUAUAUUCCCUGUCACUGGCCCUCAAACUUUGUGAUGCUGCAACCAUUUAAGGCAUUUUUUUAUGUUAUGGUUACCACUAACAAUUCAGUAGCUUCAUUGCUACUUUAAAACUGUAGAUUUGCUACUAGACCUAUGUGCAACACAUCCCAUGAUAGAGAGCCAAUCCCUGACACUAUUAAUGGCACUCUGCUAUGUUUGCAGACAGAAGCCUAGCAUAACUGUUCACUGAGAAUCUUCACUUAGCAGUUGAUGAAAACAAAUGCAAAGAUCUACAGCAUUAUAUAUGGUAGAGCUUGUGAGUCUUGCAAAAGAGUAGGGGGAAGGAUUUAGAGAGCCAGUGGGGCCAAAACCCAUAGGAGCUUCCCAUUCUCUGUUGAGUGUUGUGGGAUUUGUGUGCAUGGGACUUGGAGGAGAGUUUGGACGGGGGCUGAAAUCAGGAUUGAAGGUUAAUAUAUAAAUUAUUGACCAAAAGAGAAUAAAAUUUAGUUACAUUUCUUCCCGUUAUUGGCCUACACACCUUUCCACAUACCAAUUCUCACACUCCUUUUUUAGUCUCUUUUUUACUAAAUGAUAUCGAAUAUAUCUAACUACAUAUAUAUUCUUACAUAGGAACUGUUCAUGGCUUGUUGUUUCUUUCGAGGCUGAUGAUUUAAACAUGUCAUUUUUACUUAGUAUAUAGUGUCUGCUUUUCUACAUCUCUUUCUACCAUUCAUCACAGUACUGAGUGUCCCUUUGGAACUGUAAACCAUUUUCAUUGAGUUUAUUACAUAUCAUUUUGUGACUAUUAUAUAUAUUGUCCGUGAUUCUUAUACUUCCUAAUGCUGCAAGGCUUUCAUAAAUUUCCACAUAUUGUUUUGACCCUCAACCUUAAAAUUACUUCACUGCUUCUAUAUUAUUGUAAUGUUGCUACUGUUAUGAAUUGUAAAUUAAAUAUCUCUGUUUUCUAAUAUUCUCAGGUGAUCCCCAUAAAAAUUUCCUUCAACACAAAUGGGUCUAAAACCACAAGUUUAGGACCACUUCCUCAUGUAAAUUGUUCCCUGAAAAGUCUCAUUCUUGGACAAUAUUUUGAGAGGAUAAGAAUUAAUCAUUAGGAGUUAUGGUCAAGAAACAUGCCUUGGAGACAAUUAACAAAGCAUGUACAACAACAGAAGUAUUUCAUAACUUAGAAAUCUCAGCAGAGUAAAUUAUCAUGCUGCAAAGUUAAUGGAAUAAUGGAUUAAUAACACAGCCUGAAAAAGCUGAAGUUAUAACUAGGUAAAAAUUCUCAUAGACCUGAUAAUUAAAUAAAUAGGAAGAGAGAGGAGGGGUACCGGCGGUUACUUCCCCCUUUUAUGGUACACAACAUCUUUCCCAAAUCCUUUUCAAUCUUCAUCAGAUUGGGGAAACAAACAUGUUUCCAGGAAGUCUCAUGGUAACUUACUAAGUGUUGCUGUUCCUAUCUCCAUAAGCAGUAUAAAUUGGAGGUUCACUGCAUGAACUCCAAUAUUGAUCUGUCUUAUUAUUAGGAGCUUUAUACUAGGGAUGUGUUCCAAGAUCAGGGUGUCUGAAUGGACUGGUUUGAGGAAGAUGAAGGAAACAGAGCCCUAAGGAUAUAGUCUAGCAUGUUAUGAUCUCGUUUGUAACAAAGUUAACCACGAUACCCAAGUAGAUUCAGGUAUAUUGCACAAUUUUAAGAAUUCACUAUAUUUCAGAUAGUGAUUACAAUCUCUAACAUUUUAAUAAUCAAUGACCAGAUUAUUUUUAACUGAAUCCAUUUUAAUUUAAUAUAAAUUUAAAUUUAAAUCUAAACUUACAUUAAUAUUUUGUUAUCUUAUAAUUGUACAAUGCUAAUCUCUGAUAACUGCUUUUGUGAAAUGGGAAAUCAAUGGGAAUAUUUGGUUACACUAAUAAUUAUAUAAUUUUUAUUGACCAAGACUGAAAAGUAGCCCUAGUGGUGUCUGAAUGUAAUUAUUCUUAUACACACAAAUAUGCGAGCCAUUAAAAGCCCAUCAGCUCCUACAGAUUCACCAUGGUGACCAUAUUUUGUUAAUAUCCCAUUAUAUAUUACAAGUGCAAUCAUUAAAAAUUUCAUGUAGGAAUUAUUACUAUUUUGUGAUUUAAUAUAAUUUAAUAUUUAAGAUUUUCAUUCAUUUAUCUAAUAGAAAUUUAUCAUACAUACCAUUACUCCACUAAUCUCAAUUCCAAUUUCAUGUUCUCCUUCUAUAAUAAUUCAUCGUUUAUAAUCAUUGAUUUUAACUAGAAUGUAUGCAUGAGGUAAAUAAAAACAAGAGAUUAUUCAACAUUUUCAGCAAUGAAAUAGAAUGUAGAGACACUAGGUUUGAAAGAAAACGUAAGCACUGAGAAAAUAGAAUGAUUUCUCAUAUAUUAUACAUCAUAUAUAUAUUCUCAUAUAUCAUAAUACCCUAAUUAUAGUUCUGUUCUCUUAUUCCUCCUAUAUAUACCAGAGUAUAUACUGUAUAUCAAUAUUAUAUCAUACUUUUCAUUGUGAAUAAAAGAGAGAUGUAUUUGAAUCUUCAAUCAUGUAUCUCAGACAAACCGAGGUUUGUAAGAGGGAAAUUAUUACAGAUUAUACUGCAUGUGUAGGAAAAUCAUGGGGUAAAUACAGGAAAAGUAUACCUGACAACUUGUCUUCUAGAGAAAUGUCUAGUCAUCAAUUAAGAGCCUCUAAUACACUGUGAGUACACAUUGAAUCCUAUAAGCUCCCCUCCAAUUAAAGCUACUAGUUUAAUAUGCUUGGCUAUGGCGCAUCUCCAGCAUAUUUAUAAUCAGUUAGAAAGUUAGGUCCUAACUUCUACAGCUAUGAAAUUUAACAUUACUGACUUCUGCAAUCAUAACAUCAUGGAUGUAGGUGUAGGAUAAAUGGUGGGGUCCUGAGUCCAUCCUGCCACAGGGUUCUGUCUGCUCCGUAAGGCAGGGCACGAGAAGUUUGACCUUGCUUACUCCACGCAGACUCUGGGCAAAUGCUCCGGGGUGGGGACGCAAGGUCUGAUCACAGGGCACAGCCGGGGCUGACUUGGAAGUCCCCUUGCUUGUAAGGAGGCCUGGGCCAUCUGGUUCUCAGGUUCUUCACCAUCCAGACGCUGCUGAGAUUCUGCAGAAGAGCUGAGAAUGGAGUUGAGGUGAGGGGCUGGAUCUAGCACAGCACUGAAUGAAAAAGAGGAGAGGAUGCUCUGGCUGGUUCUGCCUGGAGAAUCUUUUCGUAGGUUAGCCCUGGUAAGGACUAAGAUUUGCAAAAUGUUGACACUUAAGGAAAGAUGCUAUCAGGAUGUUUACCUAGAGUUGUUAUUUGUAGUUUUCAGUUCAAUACAGCAUGGUGAUAACAUUUGAAAUGUAAGUAAGAAAUACAGAUGGAAAAAAAUUGAUAAAGAUGGAAAAAAGGAAGUAUUAGCUCUAAAAAAAGAAAUAGAUGAAGUAUAAAACUGAAUGACAUCAGAGAGGUUAUACCAUUUUGAUGUAGAAAAUUUUAAACAAGAGGUUAUUGGAAAACUGAAUGAUUUUAAGAACUUUGGCAGUUGCCUGUGCAAUGUGUGGCUUGGUCAUCCAUCAGUGUUUUCUGUGAUUCUUUAUUUAUACUACAUGUCUGAGGCUCACAGGGAAACAGCACAGACAGUUUUAUAUUUUCCAAUAUUUCAGUCCACUAUUAAGACAAAUAAAAUGAAAACAUGAGUAGGAGCUCAUAUUAAAACCUCAGGGACAUAGUUUAAGAAGAUUGGAAGUUGUAUGUAUGUUUGUAUAAAUUGAGCAGCCCUUGUGGUUCAUUAAUAAAAUUGAGUGUGUUAAUUUUUCUUUUUAUAUAAAAAUUUUCAGGGCGGAGGAGUUUGUUCCUUUAGGAAAAUUCUGGACAUGCAGUUAUAAGGAACUGAUAUUUGUAUAUAAUAUAUAUAUAUAUAUAAAUAUCAAGGCAUACUAGUAUAGGAAGUACCCUCAGUAAAUGAGGGGAAUUCAUGGAAAGGUAUCUGAGUUUUGUUGGCCAAGUGAUGUAGCUUAAGGUUGAGCAGUGCUCACCUGAAAGGAGGACUGGAGGUGAAAAGUGCAGGGGGCACGAGAAAAAGGGAGCCAAGACAGUGUUCUGAUCAAGUCUCAAAUUUUAAUAUUCAACACAGAUUAUAUAAAGUGAGAGACCACAAAGCCCAUCCCUAGAACAGUAACAUGGUUGUAGUAACAGUACUGCAUUAAACCUAAGUUUCUAUAUCUUUGCAGUUAGUAAACCCGAACCAAGACUGCAGCUUGUCAACUCUGACCCAAAUAAAGGCUGCUUCUUGUUAUCUCCUUGCACAUCAUGGCUGCAGUUUGUUAACUCUGGCACAUCAAGGCCACAGUUUGUUAACUCUGGAGCCUUAAAUAUUACAGCUCCAGUCAAGGCAGAUGUUUCUGCUCAGGUUGAUAAGGUGUAUUAAUACAGGUUUGCUUCUGCCUGUAGUGGGUGUUUUCACAGUUUCCCUAGCCUGCCAGGCUGAGGAGGUCACAAGCUGAACUCAAUAUCUUGGUAAAUUUUAGUUCAUUGAGAACACUUUAUCACCUAAUCUAGUGUUAUUAGGCAUUUGUAUUUUACCAGUAUUUAAAGUAUUUCGUGAGCAUGACAAAACUUGUGAACAUGAAUUCCCAUUUACAUGUGCUUGACUUCUGCCAGACUAAGCCAUCCAAUAUUCCUCAAUGGCUGGGGGCAGAACUCAUGAAGUUGAAUUCCUAUCCAAGCUAUUGAAAUGGUGCUUGAUUUGAGAGAAUGAAGUUCCUUUAGUAAUAUUUGCCCUGAUAAGUUACACAUUCUUAUGUAGAAUGUCAGUUAUUUAAGCAUAUAGAGUCAGCACUAAAUUGUUUCAUUUGGUGCAAAGAAGGAAGAAUGAUCGCAUGGAGCUCAGAUACAAUAGUGCUACAAGGGAUAGGGGAGAAUUUAAAAAAAACAUAUAUAUUAACUAUUUAUUUAUUUAUUUAUUUAUUUAUUUAUUUAUUUAUUUAUUUUUACCUCCCAAUAGUAGUUCCCCUUCUCUUGGUCUCCUAGAAAAACACGGCCCCUCCACUCUCCUCCUUCCUUCUCCCCAGAGAGGGAGGACACCCCUGGGUAUGAUCAUUGUCACUGCAGGACUAGGGCCAUCUCCUUCCAAAGGGAAUGGACUAGGCAGCCUCAUUACAGGAAGAGGAUUCACAGGCAGGCAAAAGUGUCAGGGAUAUCCUCUGCUCCAGUUUUUGGGGAAGACACACACACACACACACACAAACACACACACACACACACACACACACACACUCACACACACCCACACCACACAAAUACCCGUGGCCCAGGUUAGUUGACCCUAUUGAUCUGGGGGAAUCCCUGUCCUGUCCAGGUUCCUCAAUAUUCCUACAAUUCUUCCACAAGACUUCCCAAGUAUCAUCUGAUUUUUGGCUAUGGGUUUCUGCAUCUAUUUUGGUCAGAUGAUAGGGGGAGAAUAUCCUUGUUUUUAAUAGCUGAGUUAUAUUCCAUGGUGAAAAAUAACCACGUUUUUUUACUUAUUCUUCAGUUAAGGGACAUGUGAAUUGUUUUUAGUUUCUGGCAAUUAUGAAUAAAGCUGCUAUGAACAUAGGAGAACAUGGUAUGGUUUGAGGAUUUUCAGGAUAUAUGACCAGAAUUAGUAUAGAUGGUUAUUGAGUUAGAACUAUUUACAAUAUACUGAAAAACAGCAAGCUUUAUUUGUAUAGUACAGUUCUUUGAAUGUUACCAUGAAUUUUGUAAGUUCAUAUGUGUGUUUUUACUUGGAUGGGAGGACUAUUUGGGAACUCAGAAGCCAGAAACCAUACAGCUAUGAAAGGAAAAGAUAUCCCAAUGGAAAGAAAACCUGAUAUAUGGGGGCCCAGGAAACACAUAGCUUUGAGUUGGGACAGGUUCCAGUAUAAGUGAAUCCUGAGAUUCAUGAGCUCAGAAAACUUAGAACUCUGAGGUAGGACAAUGUCUCAGUGCUAGGGCCUCUUGAGAUACAGGAGUCCAAAAAUGACACAUCCCUGAGAGGAAGCCUUCUGAGCAGAGGCUUUACAGCUUCUAGAGUAGAGUAUCUCCAAUUGAGCUGAGGAGCUCUGGGGCCUCAGCCACACUACUUUUCUUUUCUUUUUUCUCUUCAUUGAUUUUUCUUCUUGACUUCGGCCAACAAAAAUGAUACUAGGCAGGAAGUCUCAUGAAACAGAUUUAUUGGUGAGUCCAGGAUAUUGAGGAACCAGUCCAGGGAUAAUAUCCUCUGCUCCUGUGAGUGGGCAUCAGGGAAUUUGGUAAAGAACAGUGCUUAUAUCAGAUUUCUUAAGAGGUGGCACUUUUCAGAGCAGAGAUUUCCAUGGAGGCUCAAUACAGAUCUCCAGUUUAAAGAGGUACGUAAAGGCCUAAAGAGCUUAGACAAUGAGUCUUUCUUCCCAGACAUGCCUCCAUGUAAAAGAUAUUUAACCUCAUAACAACCCUGAGAAGUGGGGUAUGAUUGUAUUCAUCCACUUUCUGCCAUGACAAUAAAUGUCAUAAAACCCUGGACUGCCUAUUUUCAUCAGUAUCCACCAUGGGUAGUCAUGGAAAGAGCCUUUGCAUAUAGGGCCACUGUCUAAUCUCCUGUAGAAGGCCUCUCUGCUCCUAGAUACAGAUGCCAUCAAGCUCAAGCCUGCAACCACAGACAGUCCUCAGACUCUUCACUGGACCAGUUGGAGCUCCUCCUUUUCCCCCACCCCUGGCCCUUGCCAGAUCCAGACCCAGGCUCCAACUCCAUUCUCAGCUGGUCCAUGACAUCCCACUGUGCCUGGAUGUCUGAGAGCCUGGGAACCAAAUGGCCCUUGCCUCCUUGCAGGUGUGGGGACUCCCGAGGCAGUUCCUGCUGCCUCUUGCCUCAGACUGAGUUUUCUCACCCCUCAAAUGUUUACUCCAGGCUUCAGUACAGCCUGACACCAUCUACUUGACAACAUGGGGUAAGCAGGGUCACUUCCUGCCUCCCUGAGCAGCUGUGUCCUUUGGCAGGACAGGGGACUUUAACAACCCUAUAGGUUUUGGUGUUUUGUUUUUCAGGGAUGGGUUUCUGGCUCACUUGUUCAGAGAUUUUGUGUUUGGGGUGUGAGGGGAAUUCAGGGCUUGGUAAGAUUUCAUGUUCAAGGAUUAGUAGAUUUUUUUUCACUCAUUUAUUCUGUCAUUGGGCCUUAGGUUAUGGUAGGAAAUCCUCCCUGCCUGCAGCUAGCUUUUGUUGAAGCACCAUCUCUGUGCAACUACUUGUUGGGGGAAGAGUGGCUAGAGAUUUGGUCCUACCAUUGUGGAUAGCUUUUCUGAGACAAAUCUUGCAGUGGUGUUUCACAAAAGCCAGGAAAGAGUUAGCAUCAUGGACAACGCCUCAAUGGCAGUAGGCUGAGGUAGGAUAGGUGUCCCCACUGUGGACAGAUCCUGAGGAGCAGCCAUAUCUGAAGCACGAAGGUGAUAUGCUACCAUGCAUAGCUUCUGAGACAGCUGCAGGCUGAAAAGAUGUCAGGAUGCCAUUAUUCUGACAGCUCCUGAUGAUCCUUCUCACUGCAGCAGAAGGCUAGGGCAGAAACGAGGGGCUUGGUCGAUUUUGUGGCUUGUCACUUAGGAAGUACACCAGAGCCUUGAUAGUGUGGUGUGCUGCUCAGGGACUGGGACAUGUAUGUCAGUCUCCUUUCUGGAAGUCAUUCUAUUGUUUAUGUUUUCUAUCCUCAUUGGAUCUUAAUUUUUUCUCUAAAAUACCUCUUAAACUGUAUACCAUGCUAAUUGGAAAUAUUGCUUUAUUGGGGUUAUAACCCAUCAUACCUUUAUUUAAUACAAUGAAUAUAUAGAAGAGCUCUCUAACAGAAAUAAAGGUCUGAUUAAUGUCAUAACUCGUGAACAUAACCAUAAUAUCUGGAAAUCUGAAAACUGCAUAAAUAGCAGUAUGUUCUACUUGGAAGCCCAUAGUUACAAUCAAAAGGGCACAGACAGAAAAGGAGGCUUUCUUGUUAAUAGCCAGGGUUAAGGCCAUGACGUCAGGUACAUGCUAAGCCCCAGGUACCACAAGCUGUUUUUGUCUGUUGUUAAUUGUAUCCAGAGCCCAAGGUAAAGUCCAUUUCUUCUUACUGUAUCUCUUAACUUUCUUUAAUUGUGCUAGAGCUAUAGUAAGUAAGAAUAUCAGACUGAAACUACACAUCUAAUGAAGAUCUCUAGGUUUGGACUUUUUAUUUCCUUUCUUCGGAUUGUCCUCCUCCUCCUCCUCCUCCUCCUCCUCCUCCUCUUCCUCUUCUUCCUUCUCCUCCUCUCCUCCUCUUCCUCCUCUUCUUACUUCUUCCUUCUCUAUCCUCUGUCUAUCUCUCUCCUGAUUGGUACCUAAUCCAUUCUUUUAUUUUUCAUUCACACAUGAAGACAAACAGAAAGAACCAAAACAAAUAUGAAUUCAUAAUCAAUGAAUCUUUUGGCCUGUAGUCUGAAGUGCAGUUCUCAGCUAGUUUGAGGAUCUAGUAAACAGUUUGAAUACAAUGUGUUCCUAAGAGAAGAAAGACUGCUUCUGACAUCUGAAUUUGUUUAAGAUCCAAUGGAAAUAUAGGAUUAACAAGAUACUUCUGGAUUCUUCCUGUUGAAAUAAAAAAUAAAAAAGGUGGGAGUGAGCAGAACUGGUUCCUGUGUACCCUGGUAGUCAUGCUAUCUUGCUAGUUCUGUCUCCAGCAGGCCAUUUGAACUAACACUAAUUUAUCUCAGUGACUCCAAACUACCUCCAUCUACUUUCUGACCCCCUGUUCGUGAGCACCAACGCAGCACCCUGUCAGGCAUCUCUGUCCUCACUCACAGCUCUCUUGGCUGGUUUCUACCAUGCCAGGCAUACACAUCCCAAUUCCAUGGAGGGCCCAGUGCUUCUGGCACCAUAUACUCUCUUGAACUCAAUUAAAUCACCACAUGAAAUAACAUAUCCCACAAUAUCCUCUGAUCCAAUUGAUAAGAUACAUUUUGCCCAUCUAGACAAUGUAAAAUUCUGUACACAUCUAUGCCUUAAGAAUAGACAUAACAAUCUUUAAUUUGGGCAGGAAUCCACCAACACCUUCUCUCAGUUCCCUCAUCCUCACUCUGGACUCCUCUGCCUCUCUUAAAAAUUUCUACCUCCCAUCCUUCCUUCUUGUCCAACAACAGGUCUCAUUCUAUCCUGUACCUGCCUUCAGAUGCCUAAUGACAUCAACUUACAUCUCCCUUGUUUUUGUGAGAGUGGUUUUUAUCUGUAUCAUCUUCUGGAACUUUGGCCUUAUAUGUGGCUACUGCCUCUGUUUCAGGCAUGUCACUCACAACUCUGCCUUAGUAAAAUGAGAUAAACAUGGCUUAUUUUAUAGUUUCACUUUAACCUGAAACUGACUGAAACAGGAGAACGUUAUCUCUUAUACUCCCUUCCUUGACACACUCUGUGUAGAAUUGCUAUGUGAAGAACAGUUUCCUGCUGUGACACUGAGAAUCUCUGAAUGUUCAGGGCUUUGCCACCUAAGAGCAAAAACUCACAUUGGCAUGCUCAUUUUCCCAGCCUUCGGCUAUUAAGAGACUCAGAUGUUCUUUCUAUAUUCCAAUCUGAAUUCCACUGUCAUAUAUAAGUUGAUACUGCUAUGUGACAAAUAUUACUCUUUUCUAUUUUCUAUCCUCUCUUUUCCUCUCCUCUCCUCUCCUCGCCUCCCCUCUCCUCUUCUCUCCUUUUCUCCCCUCUACUUGACCAUUCCAUUUUUGAGGAAAGCCUCAACUUUCCUCAAAGCCUUGUGCAUACGACCAUAGAAGUAAAUUUACUCAGUGAAUUUUUUUUUCUGUCUGUUUGAUUUUACUUUCCACUUAGUUAUUAUCGUGAAUUCAUCAGCUCCAUCUUUCAACAAUUUCUACAGUUUGCUAGUUUAGUUACAUCCUUUGUCUGAGUCAUUCUUUGGAAGGCCAAACCAUUUUGCAAUCAUUUUUACCAUAGAUCUCCUUGCAGCUAUUGUGUUUCAUAUGUUGCUUGUAUUUCAUGCAAAUUUCCUUUUUUGGUGGAGAAUUUUGAGAAGGCAAGAAAUCAGGGGCAGAGGACAUGGCAAAGUGUGGAAUAGUAGAGGCUCAAGAAAAGAGUCACAUGUAACAAUAGAGGAAAUUUAACAUAGAGAGAUCUCAGAGGAAAAUUAUACACCUUAAACUUACGGAAUCAUGGAAUCUCAUAGCAUUAUUUUCAAAAGUAGGUAUGGUGAGAUAGGUAUCCAUGUACUGAUGAUAUUUAUAUAGCAUGCACUGAGAAAGGAUGUAAAGUACUUACAAGAGGGUUUCAUACUUUUAUCUGUCAAAAGAAGUAAUGAAAAUGAACAAGUACCAACUCUCAAUGAAGAUCCAUUCUAAGACCCACAAUAAAACUUAAAGGACAAUGAAUUAGGUACAGACUAAACCAGUUUGCAAUCACACAAGCAAUUGAUAAGUGGUCUUUCUCUGCAUUCUCACCAACAUGUGUUAUCACCUAAAUUUUUGAUUUUAGCCAUUCUGAUUAAUGUAAGGUGGAAUCUCACAGUAGUUUUGAUUUGAAUUUACUAAGCACUUAAACAUUUCCUUACGUGCUUCUUGCCCAUUCAAGACUUAAUAAUUAAUUGUUGAAAGCUGUGAGUUUGAUGUCAAAGUAUCAGAUCAUCUUCUUCAGUUAGAAAACAUCAGUGAUUACAGUAUUUACCACGGGAUUACCUUUUGCUAAAAGUAAGAAUUAAAAACCAUGGAAAGGGGGAUGCUCAAUUGAUCUUUGAAGCAGGUCCUGUAUUAUUUGCGUUGUAGGUAAAGUUUACCCUGUUUAUAUGCUCCUGAUAUGUCAUGAUGGGAGCUAUCGGAGGCAGAGAAAUGGCUACUUGUCUCUCAGUAGUUUAUGAAUUAAGGAUGUCAGUGCAGAAUUUAAGAUUCUCCACUGAGCAAGACUAUCAUUUGUUCUGUCAUGUAAUAUAUGAGGAAUUAUCUGUUUUCCCUAAAGAGAAGGAGGAGGAUUUUCUGGUUUUUCCUACAAAGCUGAAUCUGAUCUGGCCCUGGAGAGAGGAGCAACAGACAUCUAAUAGUUCUUUUUUACUCAUUAAUACUUGCCCUGCAUUUAACUUACACAUAUGCUAAUUAUUCUGGUGAGGUGGUGCCAUAUCCAACAGAAAGGUUUUCAGUUUGACUAAGCUUAGACCAGGGACUGGCCCCAAUAGGACAUUUAUGCUUGUUAGAAGAAGUGUGCCACUGUGGAUGUGGGCUUUGAAAUCCUUCACCUAUCUGUUUAUGAGACAAUCUUCUCUUUUCUGCCUUUACAACAAGAGGUAGACCUUUCAGCUUUUCGAGUACCCUGCCUGCUUAGAUGGUAUCACGUCUUCCUGCCAUGAUGAUAGUGGACUAAAUGAAUGUGUAAACUAGCUCCAAAUAAAUGUUGUCCAUUCUCAGAGUUGCCUUGGUCAUGGUGCUUCUUAAUAGCAAUGGCAACGCUAAACAAGACAGGAGUCCUGCUGUGGAAUUGUAUUUGUAAAAUACAAUUAAAAUCAUAACAUAUCUUACAUCUAUUUACAUAGUUAUCUCAUAUUUACUUAUUUACUUAUUUUACUUACUUGAAUUAUCCUAAGAAAGAGUUUAUGCAAAUGAUAUAUAAUGUGAAUUGUAUAUAUUGCAAAUUAUAUAUUUUAUAUAUAAUAUAUAAUAUAUAUGAAGAAUAUCAGUACGUAGUUGUUUAAUUUAAUAAUAAUUUAUUUUCUUAAAAGAUUUAAUCUAAUAUUGUCCAUGCAUGGAAUUUUAGUUUAAAAACCAAGACCUCUAUGGUCUUACAGGUCAACAGGUCAACAGAACAAAAUGUUUAUUUUGCAGCAAGAAUUUCAAAAUAAGACUUCCAUUUUUAAAAACAUAACCUAAUUGAUGAGGGUGGCUAUCAGCGAGUUAAAUAGCUGUAAUUCUAUUUAACCAUUUUAUUAUAUGUAUUGUUUAUGUUUUGGUUAAAAACAUAAAUAAUUCAAAAGAAAGAACAGCAAACAAACUUACAAUUAUUGUAUUAAAAAUUUUAUAGAGGAAUUGUCAAGCAGUAUCAGGGGCCCUAAUUCACUAUAUGUCACAUCUUUUCCUUGUGACAUAAUUUAAGUCCUUCUACAUUUUUAAUUUUUAGUAUUUGCAUCCUAGUUUUUAGAAAAAAACACUUGAGGUGUAAUAUAAUUAGGAUCCAUUUUCAUAUACUCCAUGGAAGUGUUAUUGAACACAAAGCUAAGGUUCAAUGAUCCAACUAAGUUUCUACAGUAAAUAUUUUAAAGAAUCACAUCUCAAAUUUAGAACAAGGGAUUGUUCAAUUCAGGAGAUAUGCAUUAUCGCCAUGAUAAAAGAUCAGAUCCAAAAGACAUAUAGAGAAGUACAACAAGUUAAUAUUACCUAUACAAUUGCUAUUAAAUUGUUAGGCCCUGCAGGUUUCUAGGUAAUCCAUGGAGAAAAUAUAGGGCAACAUUUAUGACUUAAGCAGCAUGUAGAGAAGUUUUGUUUAUUUGAUCGUGUCUUUGUUUGGUUUAGUUGUUUUAAUCUUCAAAACAUCUGUUAGAUGUAUAUUAUCUAACAUAAUUUAGCUGAGGAAACCAUGUUAAAACUAAGAUGCUAGAGUUAUUAUUGAGUUAGCCAUAUAUGAGUAUCCAGUUAGUGGGUUUAAUUAUAGACGUUAUUUUAAUUCAAUUAGUUACUAAUAGAAGCCUUGGAAAUAGUUUGGCUCAUAGCUAUUCAGAAGCACAUAUUGUCUUUUUCCUGGCUGUACAUUCUGUCCAUAUCACAGAAUCAGGAGGCCACAUCACAGAACUAGGUGAGAGGGUUUGAAAUAAACUUUGAGACAAGUGGGCUUGGAGAUUGAGGUAUUAUUGUCAAAUCCCUUCUCCAGAGCUGUUUUUUCCAUAAGGCUGCAUGUGAUUUUUCUAAUAUUAUACAUACCCAUAAGAAAUCUAAGACUAUAACACUGAUAUAUAUUUUCAUAACCAAUCUGUAUGUACCUUCAGAUAGAAGUAGAAAACCUGAAAUGAUUAACCAUUAUAUUUUCUAUUUUGAAAGAUAUCACAUUGUAAACAAUAUAAGUACUUGCAACCAAGAGGCCAUUAAAGAGAGAAGUAUGAAACCAAAAGAAAGAGUAUCUGGGUUUUUGGGCAGAAAUCAGGGCAGUUCUUAGUUUUAAGACAAGGAAGUCCCAAGAAUAUGGGGACUCUUCUAUCCCAGUUACGGUAAGCAUGCCCAUAGAGAUGGCAGGACCCAAUAUAUUUCUUAAUUCAUUUUCUAUUCUAGGACACAAAGCCAAGGGGUUUUCUCAGUAUAGAAAAAAUAAACUUUUAUAGGAAACAUUUCCACGCUUUUUGUGACUCUUCUGAGGUAGAACCAUGUACUUACUGAUUGGCAGAGCAUGUGUGUAUGCAGAGGCCUCGAGAGGGAAAACUAGGAAUGGCUACUUAAUUAACAUUUUCAGGUUGAAUCAAGAAAGCCCCUUACCUGGAGGUCAAACUCUGAGCAAAAAAAGGGGAGGAGAGGAAAGACAGUCAAAGGAUGACUGUCCAAGAGGCAUAUAGCCCUUCCAGGCUCAUUAAGGUCAUGAGUAAUUUUAAUAAAUGUGAACUAGGUAAGUCUGCUUUUAGAUCUCAUGUUACUAAUGAAUUUCAUUUUCCCAUCUUGUAUGUCUGCACAGAACAUUUGUAUGGUUAACCUUAAAUGUUCGGCUUUUUUCCUUGCCCAGAUAGCUUCCAAAUAAUUGAUAUGUGGGCUUAUAAAUUUAUUCACUAAAUUUUAAGCACAAUGACUGAACAUAUAUCCCUAUCCCUCUAUACUAUCUUAGAAUAGUCACAAGCCAUAUGCCCUGAGUUACUUGUAUCUAGUCUCUACUUGGUUCACUCUGUUCUAGCUCUCUAUCCUCAUGGAGAAAUCCCUUGGUGAAUUUUCCUCAUGCCUGCCCUCAUGGUGACCUAUGUUGACUUCCUCUACCCCUUGGACCAUCUCCUCCUGGAUCCUAAUCUGCCUCAUGGUGAAUUUCUUCCAUCUGGCUCUUCUCCCUGGGAUUCCAGGCUAGAAUGGAAAGUCCAGCCUCGAUAAUUCUGCUGCCCAUAAAUUUGCUUUUCAUCUUGUAAUUAACCAAUCAGAUGUAAUUUGGGAACAUUCUAUACAUAAUACCCAUAUAGGUCACUCUUCAAUAUUCAUGACAAUGCCCAUCUGGAUAUUGUCAGCAUCUGCAUACACAGAGCUGUAUAAAAGAAAGACCAAUUCCCAACAUCUUUUAGAUUUCUGAUGCAGCUUAAUAUGACAUGUGGUAGUGUUGCAGUUUGUUGCAGUUUCCUCUCCAACCCGAAGCAGCCAGUACAAAGAAAACACAACUCAAUUAAUAUGAAAACAAUCUAGCGUCUAGAUUGGGCAGUCCACCCUACACUGUCCUAUUCCUAGCUCCCAAAUCCCUCAUCCCUGCACCUUUUAUUUUAUUUGCACCAUCUCCAGCAUCUCCUUCUCCCACAACAACUCUCUCCUCCCUUCUUUCCUUUCUCCUCCCCUCAUUCCUCCCCCUCCUGACUUCUCUGCCUCCUGACUCCUCCCCUCUCCUGACUCCUCCCCUCUCCUGACUCCUCCCCUCUCCUGACUCCUCCCCUCUCACCCCUGACUGCUCCAUCUGCCCAAAUCUCGAGUUCUUGCCUUUAUUUACAAAUUCAGAGAGAACUCCAAGGCAAACCACAACAUGGUAGAAAAGAAAAAAAAAAAAAAAAAACUAUGAACAGAAGCUACACUUUAUUAAAAAUAGAAAGGCACCAACACUCCCUGUCAAGAAAGCAUCACUGCUUUGGUCAGGGUUGAAAAGUGUUUCUUCAAGGUCUAUUCCAACAACCCUAAGCAGGAUUUCAGAAGUCCUAUAUUCAAGGUCAUAUACCUAGUUAAAAAUCCUUCAGAAGAACUUAUAUGCUGGGUCACCCCAGCAACCCUCAUGUGAGAAGUGACUUCUCUAACAUUCCCUAGUACCUGUGGAAUUGGCAGUCACUUAGAACCUCCAAUAACUAAGAGAAAUAGGAUGAUUGUGUUCCCACAGACCAGUGGGUUCAAUAAUGGCGGUGUAGAGAUUUCUUAUGCCUAAUUCUGGAAGGAGACUUUUACCGGGGACAGGAGAUCAAUGAUGAAGUCUAUCUUUCUGGGUUAGUAGGCAAGAGGAAAUUUUGCUGUAGAUAAAGCUGUAAAGGUCAGUGUGGACAGUCCUGCCAGUUCUGACUACUGUCUCUUCUCACUCCAUCUUGGAUUUUGGUCCAUGUACAAACAGGUAAUUGUGGCCAUUUGAGAAUAUGCUGUCUGUAGGAAGGAGAACUUGUUCAAAUUUCUCUAGUGUUUUAACUAAUCUAUCACCCCAAGACCUGGAUCCCAUUGAAGUCUUAUAGUAACAGGAAAAGAAUGACUUAGAAAAGUAAAAGAUACAACUUGAAUCCUGCCUUUGCUAAAGAUCAAUGGAAAGUCCCUGAGCCAGCAUGUAGAUAUUACUUUUAUUUCUGUUCAAGUGUAUGAAGGUGUUCAUCAAAAACUUUUCAACAAUGAAACUGCUAGAAUUACAGAAAAGCUUCAGUAAACAAAGAACUCUCACAGCCUGGCCUGCAUGUUCACUGGAUAUGGGGACAGAUUGCAUCAGUGUGUGAGCUGUGGAACCAGAUAAACUGAGCAAUAUAUCCUCAUUUCUCCCUUUGGACAUAGUCUUCAUAAAAGGGGACAAUAGACGAAAUCUCAGAGGAUUGAACUGAGAGAAUCGUUAAGGACAUCUCAUUUAGCUGCAAGUACUCCAAGGGUUCAUUCUUGACAUAUUGUACAGUUGUGAGACUUUAUGUUAUUUCCUAUCUAGUACAAGUAAAAGCUUUGUUGAUGAUUUUUGAAAAAUAUGCUUAUUUAUGGGAGUCAAUUUAUUACUGGAUUACUUUAGCAAAAUAAUACUAUCAGGUUUUCCACUAGGCUCCUGUCACAUCUAUUAUCAGGUUUUUGUCAUAUUAACAAUGUUCUUUAUUAGUUCUUCUUUAUGGAUUACAUCAUAAAUGCAUAAAAAUGAAUGAUUACUUCAAUGACUUUUGUGCAAGGAGUUCAUGAGGCAUACCACUAUUGUAGGUUGUGUCAUUUGUAACUGGGUAGUAUUGAUGAAUUCUUCUUUCUACCAGUUAUGUGUAGAGUAUCUCCCAAUACCAGGAUUUCUAGUCAGUAAUAGUGAAGCUUCUAAUUUGCCACCAGCUCAGUUUCUCUGCAUCUCAUCUCAUAAAUAAGCUACAUUUCUAGUAAGAGACCUCACAGUUAAGGUGUAUAGAGUAGCAGAUAUCCUAGGCUGUAGCCUUUGAUUGCUGUAGAGUCUAUGAGACCGCAUUAAUGAAAGAUUUAGGAAAUAACACACUUCCAGUACUGAACAUUUUACUUGGUGGCCUAAAUGUUUGGUUGAGGACUGUCCCCUUUUAUAAGGUGAAUUCACUAAAUUCCGUACUUAAAUGUAUACAUUUUAGGACAUUUAAGUAUUUUUCAUGGUUCAUACAUGAACAUAUGAUCUAACUAUUACUUACAUCAUUUCAUCUUUCAUCCACAGCUCCUAUCAGAUAUGUCAUAUUUGAUUUCAAAUUCUAGGCAUAUUGUUAUGCAUUUUCUAACCAUGUAAUAUAAUUACAUAUAUAUAUGUAUGAAAUAUAAUUAUAUAUAUAUAUAAUGACUAUUGGAUUCAACAAGUGUUGAUCACAAAUACACACACACAAACAUAUGCAUUGUGUUUUGUGUGUGUGUGUGUGUGUGUGUGUGUAUUUGUUUGCCCACUUGUAUGUUUCUGUUUAGUGCUGAAUUCUUCAGAUAUUGUGUUCCUUCAAAGACUAAUUCUAGAACAAGAUCGAUUGUCCAUUUCUUAAAACCCAUUGCUAUCUGUAGCUGUUCAGGUAGCCUUUAAUUUUCCCCAUAUUUCCAAUGACAUUUAAACUUGGAGUCUCGUCAUAUCAUUCAAUUUUAGCAAAGUUAAUGAUGGAAAUUUCAUGGAUACAGCUUCUCUGUCAUAUACAGAACACAUACAGGUGUUUCUCAUUAGCAGGCAUACUAUUCCUUUGGAUUUAUAUUUUUCCAUUUCUUCCUCAAUACUUUUUAUUUGAGUGCUGAUGAUGCUUUUAAAUUUAACAACUGACAUUAGGCAUACCACAGUCAGUUGAAUUUUGACCAGUGGUAUAAUGUAAUGGUCUCUUUCUGCUACAAAAUGAAGAUAUUUUCCUGAUGGUAAGUUUUAUACUAAUCUGCAGGUAUAUUUAGAAUGUGAUUAUAAUUAACACUGAUUCAGAAAAUUGGUCACUAUAGGAUUUUUCCAAUAUUGAUUAUCUUACUGCCUUUGGAUAGUUUGCUAAGUUUGUAGUGUUUGGCAUAAUUUAUUUCCUUGACCAUAUAAUAAAACUACUAUUGUACACAUUACAUUCUAUCUUGAACAAUUUCUGUGUUGCUUUGAAUCACUAAACUCUAUUACCAUGGUGAGAGCUAUUAUUUGGAAAAUGACACUUGAGGGAAGUUAGUAAAAUAUUGAUGUUUAUCUACAUAUUUUGUAGCACACUUAUCUUUAGUGUUCACUUCAACAGAGUAUGGUGGUAAGAAGUAAACAAAAUAUAAAGAUAACAGACAUAGGGGACUCUCCUUCUGACUUUAAUAUUGUAAGGAAUUCUCAAAUCGACGUUAUUGGCAAUGACAGUAAAUGUGACUAUUUUGUUAGAAACUUGUCUGUCUUACAUGUGAUACAGAAUGUAGUGCAAAGUCCUCUGUGCUUCUGUUAUUCUAUUACUUUGUGACUCACAACAGAAUAGCACAGACACAUUCUUAUUUCCUGAAACUUCAGAGAGCCAACAUUUAACCUUUAAGACUAGCUCAGAGACACUAUUCAGUGUUGUGGCACAAAGGUAUUUCUAGGAUAUAUAGAAUGUAUAUUCUUGUGGUCCUUGAAUUAUCUUUAAUGGGUUACUUUUUCAUUUAAGCACAAAUAUGCCUGGGCCUGAUGGUGGCCUUCUGAGUUUAUUUCUAGAAUAUACCAGUAAAAGUCAAAGCUGAGUGCUUUGGGCAUGAAAUCCCAGGGCAUGGAGUUAAGAUUCUUGAGUUUUGCUGGCCAGUCUACCUACAUUAUUUAGUCCGUUUUAGUGAAUAUAAUGGUAUAAAAUGAACCAAAGUUAGUAGGCACAGCAGUAGAGUUGUACUCAUGAGCUGCAAGCAGUUGAAUCUGCAUAUACAAGACUUGUACCAGACCAAGGUAGCUAAAAUCUAAGCAUGGCUUGGGCAAUCCUCAUGAAGUCCCAUUCUAUUUUAGUUAUCCUUGACAUUUGAUGGACUUCUGGAGAAUGGAGAAUUUGUUUUCUUCAGUAAUGUUUGGACUCAGUAGAUAUCCAGCUUUCAUUAGAGAUCCAUAUAUCCUUGAUCACAUACAUAGCCCUAAAUCAACAAGUUGGUAUUAAGAAGACAGUGAGACUGGGCUCCACAAACCUAUGGUUUGACUGUUUAGGACUUUCUGAAAUUAUUGUAUUUUACAGUGAAGAGUUUCUUUAUGAGUGGAGAAGACUAAAUUUAUCUUUGCAUAUUCAGACAAAUGUUUAUACAUUGUUGCUUGAUUAGAAUAAUAUACAAUUUUUUGUUAUAUUGGAUUGUAUUGUGACUAUAUUGGAUUAGUAAAUUUAUGGUUAGAAUUCUCCAUUAUGCAUAACUUCAGAAGCAUCAAGUAGUUAACUAGCUUUCCAGUACUAGUCAUGGCCUUCCUCUGUUUGAACAGGGCAUAAAUGCAAUUAGAGUAGCAUUGGAUGCCACACAGUUAUGUAUUGUACCACUGAACACUUAAGGUUAUUGUGCUAUAUUGUUUAUUGAUGUGGUUUAUAGCCACCAUAACUGUGUAUGUCUUUUGAUUUCCUUUUUAAUUUGGAAGUUGCACAUUAUUUCUGUUGGUUUGUUUGUUUGUUCAAGGGUUUUAGCCACAUACUUCUUUUUUUAUAUUUCUUUCAUUUAUUCACUUUACAUCCCAAUUGCUGCCCCCAUCUUCCCAGUUCCCCCUCACAGUCCCCUCACUCCUGACUUUAACCUCUGAGAAGGUGGAGGUUCCUCCUGGGGAGUCAACCCACCCUGGCUCCUUAAGUCAUUAGUUCUUUCUCUAGAAACACCAAUAGGUCCAGAUUAUUUGGCUUUGCUGGUGUUUUUUGGUGUCCCUAUCCUCUCCAGUUUCUUCAAUACUUUCUCAAACUUUUUCACAAGUGUUUUUGUUUGAUCUAAUGUUUGGCUGUGGGGGUCUGCAUCCAUUUUGGUCAGCUGUUGGGCAGAGCCUCUCAGAGAACAGUUAUGCUAGCUAGCUUCCUCUGAAAAAGCAUGACAGAGUACCAUUAAGAGAGCAUGUCAGUUACAGAGGUGAAUGCUAGCAGCAAACCACUGAAUUAAGAAUGAGACUCUCGAUGGAGGACUUAGAGAAAGGAUUGAAAGAGCUGAAGGAGCUUGCAACCCCAUAAGAACAACAAUGUCAACCAACCAGAGCUCCCAGGUACUAAACGGCUACCAAAAGACUCCAUGGCUCAAACUGCAUAUGUAGCAGAGGAAGGCUGUGUUGGGCACCAAUGGAAGGAGAAGCCCUUGGUCCUGCCAAGGUUGAACCCCUAGUGUAGGGGAAUGUUGUGGUUGUGGCUGGAAGCGGGAUAGAUAUGGAGGGAAACACCCUUACAGAAGAAGGGGAGGAGGGUUGGAUAAAGGGCUUAUGUCUGGGAAACCGGGAAAGGGAACAAAUGAAAAAAAAAAAAACAAAUAAAAUGGGGGCAGGACCAGUUUGGUUGUUACCCAAGGGAAAGAUCUCCUGUUGGGCCAGGCAUUGGUCUGUCUUUCUCCCAGUCGCUGUGACAUCUGUGUUCCUGCACUUCUUGUAGAUAAGACAUAUUUGGGGUUGAAAUUUUUAUUGGUGAGGUAGUCCAAUUAUACAUUCAGAGGGAAUCCUGCCUGGCUACAGAAGGAUGCCACUUUAGGGUCCAUAUCCCUCACUGCUGUAAGGUCUUAGGUACAGUCACCCUCGUAGACUCCCAAAGUCCUCUCACAAUUCCAGGUUCCAAGUUCAUAAUAGAUAUAUCCACAGCCUAGUCUCACACCUAAUGUUCAUGGUAUAAUAAAGUGAAGUAGCAAAAAAAAUUGCAAUACCCAAGUGAUCAGGGGGUGUUGUCAUAAUAAUAUUUCUACUAAUAAUAUUAGAAGUUCCAUCAAUUACCUGACCUUUCAAAACUGAGCUAAACUUUAUGAAAAACAAUCCACUAGGACUAAACCAUGCUCAACGAACAAUAGGCAUCUGAGGAAACAUGGAAAAGGAAGAUGUAACUAUUCUCAGGGGAGAUCACAUCAAUUAUUUGUGUUUUCAGAAAAUUCAGCUUUGAAAAUCGACAUCAAGGUAACAUUAAACUUACUGAUUAUGUUAUAUUCAGGAAUAUAUAUGUAUUUACAUAUAUACAUGCAACAAAAUUAGUAAAAGGGGCCAUAAAUUUGAAAGAUAUUGUGGUAUAGCUUAUGGGAAGUUUAAAGAAAGGGAAAGAAGACAUUUAAUUAACUUAUAAUCAUAAAAAUAAGAAAGUCACACAUGCAUUCUUCACACACACACACACACUCACAUACACAGCAUCAGAUAAGAGACAAAGGCAGAUAAACAAUUAUGGACAUAUCUUGAAAGAGUUUUUCAUAAUAAAUAUAAAUGUUAAAUGAUUUCUUUAGCAUGAUUAUACUUUAAGCUAUUCCAUGUUCUUUGGAUAUAUUAAUUUAAUAGGUAUAGAACACCUCAUUUCAUUUUCAUUUUCAUUUUUGAAAACUAAUCAGAUCUUUCUAACGAUCAAGUUAUUUUUUUCUAAUCAUUUCUAAUAGUUAAAGUUUAUAAAAUAGAUAUCUUUCCAAUCAUUCUAAUAAAGUUCUAAUCCAGUGUGAUGGCUCAUGUUCAUAACUGUAGCACUUAUAAACAGUGGCACAGCUGGGUAGAAAAUGUCAGGAGCAGCUGUACCUGGCAGCUCAAAAAUCACAAUCAGCAGGGCCCAAACAGACAAAUAUGCCUCCUUGUAGAUGGGCAGAAUCUAUGCCCAAGCUACUAAAUACAUACUAAGACCACACACACCUCUGCCUAUUCUUGUCCUUUGUCCAGUGGAACCAUAGUCCAUGUGUUACAUUUAUUUAAUCUUUCUCAUUUCACUCUCCCUGAUCCUGCUGUAGCAAACAGGGAGGAGGAGAUAUACAUACAAGCUUUUAUAGAAAUCUCUCUAUUUACAGCAAGUUCUUGAUUUACAUAACUGGUUUUGAGAUCUCCCACUUGAUUGGUCCUAAACCCGUUCUUGUUAUGAAUGCACACACUCAACCAAUCUGAGACAAAUGGAGCUAAGUUCCUGAACACCGGGUUGGUGCCAGUCAGGCUCCUGGCUGAAUUCCAGCUCUCAGCUAGUUCCAGGCUGUAGCCAGGAAUGGACUACAUCCUACUUAGCAGUGAAGGAGGACCAUUAUUAAGAUGUGCCAGGAAACAGCCAAUGGAUUUCCAGCUGAGACAGGAACUUGCUAAGAGACUCCACACUCCUGCUGAAUUACUUGCUUUUAUUUCCUGUUUAGGAAAUGUGCUUGGGCUUCCUAAUCCACUGCUCUUUAAAAUAUACUUCUCACAAGGGCUACCAGAGACUGAAGUACUAGUCAUGGAGCCUGCAUUCAUCUGUGCUAGGACCUUAGCAAACUUCUGUUUGCUUAGCUUGGGGGUUUUGUGGGAUUGCCCACGGUCAGUGUAGGGAUGUCUUUGACUAUUUUGUUACCUUCUCUUGGGACUUGUUUUCUCCUCCUGGGUUGACUCAUUCAGCCAUAAUAUGAAGUUUAUUUUUCCUAGUGUUAUUGCAUCUUGUUAUACCCUGUUUUGUUGAUAUCACUGGAAAGUUUGCUCUUUUCUGAAGUUAAAAGUAGGAACAGUUGUUCAAUAGGAGAUGGGAAAUGGGGAGGAGGUUACUGAGAGGAGUGGAGGGAGCAGAGGUUGCAAGUAGGAUGCAUUGUUUGAGAGAAGUGUAAAUUAAUAUAUCUAUAUCUAUAUCUAUCAAUAUCUAUCUGUCUAUCAUCUAUCUAUCUAUCUAUCUAUCUAUCUAUCUAUCUAUCUAUCUAUCUAUCUAUGUUUGGAUUUUGGCCUUAUCUGCCAUAAGUAUGAUUUUUCUCAACCUUCAGUUUAUAAUACUGACAGGAGAGCUUCUGUUCCCCAUAUUCCAUUCAUGGACCUACUAUGAGGAGAACUACUAUCUAUAUAUAUCUUUAAUCUGGCAACCUAGAACUAUGAGAGAAAAGUCAGAGCUGAAGCAUUGACUGACCUUUUUAUAAGUGGUUUUCUUUUUAUUGAAGAUAGAUUUUAUUUCAUAUAAUAUAUAAAGAUUAUGGUUUCACUUAACCGAAUUUCUUUAAGAUCAUCCCAUAUCCCCACCCACAUAACCUACAGUUUUUCCUUCUCUUUCUAAUGAGAAUAUAGACAUAUAUUUAAUAAUAAUAAUAGUAAUAAUAAUAAUAACAAUAACGACAGUAUAAACCAAAUCAAAAUAAGACAAAAGAAAGAAACAAACAAGAAAAAUAGCCAAAAGAAAAUCAGAAUAGACACAUACCAAUGAAAAGGCAUACAUAUUCACACAAAAUUAAGUGGCAAAAAACACAAA